CUCGUGAGACGUCUGGGAGGAGCCUGCGUCUGAUUAGGUAGUUGGUGGGGUAAAGGCCUACCAAGCCNNCGAUCAGUAGCUGGUCUGAGAGGAUGAUCAGCCACAUUGGGACUGAGAYACGGCCNNAACUCUACGGGAGGCAGCAGUGGGGAAUAUUGGACAAUGGGGGCAACCCUGAUCCAGCAAUGCCGCGUGGGUGAAGAAGGUUUUCGGAUUGUAAAGCCNNUUUGGCGGGGACGAUGAUGACGGUACCCGCAGAAUAAGCUCCGCUAACUUCGUGCCAGCAGCCGCGGUAAUACGAAGGGGGCUACGUUGCUCGGAAUGACUGGGCGUAAAGGGCGCGUAGGCGGCUUGUAUAGUUAGGCGUGAAAUUCCUGGGCUCAACCUGGGCUGCGUCUAAUACAUGCAGGCUUGAGUGUGAAAGAGGGUCGUGGAAUUUCCAGUGUAGAGGUGAAAUUCGUAGAUAUUGGAAAGAACACCGGUGGCGAAGGCGGCGACCUGGUUCAUUACUGACGCUGAGGCGCGAAAGCGUGGGGAGCAAACAGGAUUAGAUACCCUGGUAGUCCACGCUGUAAACGAUGUGUGCUGGAUGUUGGGKGCUUAGCACUUCAGUGUCGUACGUAACGCGGUAAGCACACCGCCUGGGGAGUACGGCC
rnacentral:rRNA from 1 species